rnacentral:misc_RNA from 1 species
UCUCCGUUGGUGAACCAGCGGAGGGAUCAUUAAAGAGUUUCUAAGCUCUAAACCCAACCGUGGACCGCGAAAACGUUGCCUCGGCGGGCUUUGCCCGCCGGUGGCCCCAACUCAAAAACGCUUUGCAAUGUUUGUCUGAGUGGCGCAAGUCUUAUUGCAAAAUAAGUCAAAACUUUCAGCAACGGAUCUCUUGGUUCUG